rnacentral:tRNA from 1 species
GGGGCUGUAGCUCAGCUGGGAGAGCGCCGGCUUUGCAAGCCGGAAGUCACCGGUUCGAUCCCGGUCAGCUCCACCA